CUGGCAGCCCAGGAGACUGACGACUUCUGUUUUAACCACAAAACAGGUACAGCAUGGGCAGUGCAAGUUCUCCCAUGCUGGCCGCCUUUGCCUAUGUGCCUCAGUCCUGACCCAGAGGGGCCACUGCUAGGGAUAAGAAGUAAGGUCAGUCCUCAUUGCCCAUUGGUUCUUUGGCUCAU
rnacentral:sRNA from 1 species